UACGAAGGGGGCUAGCGUUGUUCGGAAUCACUGGGCGUAAAGGGCGCGUAGGCGGCCGAUCAAGUCGGGGGUGAAAGCCUGUGGCUCAACCACAGAAUUGCCUUCGAUACUGUUUGGCUUGAGACCGGAAGAGGUUAGUGGAACUGCGAGUGUAGAGGUGAAAUUCGUAGAUAUUCGCAAGAACACCAGUGGCGAAGGCGGCUGACUGGUCCGGUUCUGACGCUGAGGCGGCGAAAA
rnacentral:rRNA from 1 species